UUUAAGACGUUUGUUUUAUUGAUCAUCUCUUGAUUAUGUGCCAGUUUAAAGCUCAGUGUUUCAUAAUUCAUAUGCCGUCACUUUUUCUUACAUUCUGAGUAUUGCAGUGAUUGCUAAAUUUGAUUUAUAAUCUGAUUUAAUCAAAAGUCAGUAAGACGAAAAUCUUCUGAAGAAAGUGUUUUCCUUUUCUUUCACUCUCAGAAAUAAAAGGUACAAAAGUUGACACUGAGAUGGCACCUUUUCAAAAGGAUAAUGGAAGAACUGCAUGAGCCGGUGAACAAGGGAGGAUUUGGAGGACAUCCAGUCCGUGCCUGCUGAACUGAUUCGACUGGAGCUCUGCAAAACAUCCCGGCCUGAGCUGUCCACCUUAUUCACGUUGUGAUUCAGCUGAAUGGCAUUCAGGAGCAGAUGGCAGUAAUUAAGCAUUUGUCAGUUUGAUCCAUGAUAUACUCAUGCAUGAGUGCUUUACAUUGGCAGAAAAAUACUCAUCCUCAGGCCAGCCGAGAUGUAGAAUACAGAUUGUGUCAAAAAGCAGCUUUACAGUGUUAAACAGGAAAAUAGUUUGACAAUAAUGGAAGAAGACAUUAACAAACAGUCAAAUAUUUAGCUAAAGUCAAUUCAUUGAUGAUUCAGUGAUGUCAUCAUCCAGUUCAGUUCUCUUCCAAUAGAAGAAUGAAACCGACUAAUGUUAGCGUAGAUGCCAUUCUUUUUAUGAUGAGGUAUCUAGUACAUUGGAUGUUAUGGGAAGUUGUCCUAAUUAACGAAAGCCUAACAAUCCUUUAAUGGAUUUGAAUUAUAGAAAUGUGUUAGUGUGUUUUAUGAAUGCCAGGUUAAAGAGGUUAAAAAAUUGGGUCUUUAAUCUUUUUUUUUUUUUUUGGUCUAGAAUGAAUAAAGCCAUCGUUGUUUUUCUAAAAGAAGAGUCGAUGGUAGAUGAUUUGGUUGAGCGUGGUUUAAUUGUGGGGAAUGCUUUCGUGUCAGAAAAAAAAAAAUGUGUGUAUGUUCUCCAAUAUGGUGCACAAUAGUAUUUUUGUUUGAGCAACCCAAGUUCAAAUCCGGUUCUGGUAAUCUCUGAUCCUGCAUCUCUGUACUUUUCCUGUCAUUGAUUUACUAUUCAAUAAGGAACCCAAAUAAAAUUCAAAAUAUAGUUCCUGUUUUUCUCACUUCACCAGAUGUGAGUAAAAAAUA